rnacentral:lncRNA from 1 species
AAACAUGACAUAUCAGCAGAGCACAAAAAAUGUAUGGAACAUGACAGAUCCAUUUGGAAGCUAGAGGAGACUCCAAUGGCAAAAUGUGCAUCUUGUAUGUCAAAAAUAAUGUUUAAGCACAUGAAGUGCCUCUUUAACACAGCUUAUGUUAUUGCAGUAAGAGAGUUGCCAUUUAUAGACUUUCACACAAUAUGUGAACUGCAGAAGAAAAAAUGGUCUUGCCCUGGAGUAGGAAUACAUAAACGAUAAACACUGCAAAGAAUUCAUAGGUGUUUAUAGCAGCAGACAUCCAAAAUAAGCAUGUAGCCGAAUUAAGGAAAGCAUUUUCUUUUCACUCAUUUGAUUCAAGCACAACAAUCACAACAGAAGAGAUUGUAGCUAUUUGUGUAAGAUAUGUUAACAUACCAGAAAGUAGCAGUAAUAAUGCAA